GACGAACGCUGGCGGCGUGCUUAACACAUGCAAGUCGAACGGUAAGGCCCUUCGGGGUACACGAGUGGCGAACGGGUGAGUAACACGUGGGUGAUCUGCCCUGCACUUCGGGAUAAGCCUGGGAAACUGGGUCUAAUACCGGAUAGGACUCCGGACUGCAUGGUCUGGGGUGGAAAGCUUUUGCGGUGUGGGAUGGGCCCGCGGCCUAUCAGCUUGUUGGUGGGGUGAUGGCCUACCAAGGCGACGACGGGUAGCCGGCCUGAGAGGGUGGCCGGCCACACUGGGACUGAGAUACGGCCCAGACUCCUACGGGAGGCAGCAGUGGGGAAUAUUGCACAAUGGGCGCAAGCCUGAUGCAGCGACGCCGCGUGAGGGAUGACGGCCUUCGGGCUGUAAACCUCUUUCAGCACCGACGAAGCGCAAGUGACGGUAACCGGAGAAGAAGCCCCGGCUAACUUCGUGCCAGCCGCCGCCGUAA
rnacentral:rRNA from 1 species